CAUGGCGAGAACCGUAAGGUUCGUAAAGUCGCAGACGCCACGCUGCCGAGAAAAUCCUCUAAGGAGUCUUUUGGGUACCCGUACCGCAAACCGACACAGGUAGGCGAGGAGAAAAUCCUCAGGUGCGAGUGAGAACCCUCGUUUAGGAACUCGGCAAACUCACCCCGUAACUUCGGAAGAAGGGUGCUCCGUUAGCGUCAGCGGCUUCGCGCCGCGAAGCGUGAGGGAGUUGCAAUAAAGAGGCCCAAGCAACUGUUUACUAAAAACACAGGGCUAUGCUAAGUCGAAUACGACGUAUAUGGCCUGACGCCUGCCCGGUGCCGGAAGGUUAAAGGGAGAGGUUAGCCGCAAGGCGAAGCUUUGAGCUGAAGCCCCGGUAAACGGCGGCCAUAACUAUAACGGUCCUAAGGUAGCGAAAUUCCUUGUCGGGUAAGUUCCGACCUGCACGAAUGGCGUAAUGAUUUGGGCGCUGUCUCAACGAGGGGCACUGCGAAUUUGUGGUACCGGUGAAGACGCCGGUUGCCCGUCAUAAGACGAAAAGACCCCGUGCACCUUUACUACAUCCUAGUAGUGAAUGCUGACGCAGUAUGCGCAGGAUAGGUGGGAGGCUUUGAUCUCGGGUUCUCGGACUCGGGGGAGCCAACGGUGAGAUACCACCCUUACUGCUUCGGCGUUCUAACCUCGUUCUGUCAUCCAGAACAGGGACACUGCUAGGUGGGUAGUUUGACUGGGGCGGUCGCCUCCUAAACUGUAACGGAGGCGCGCGAAGGUUCGCUCAGGCUGUUUGGAAAUCAGCCAUAGAGUGCAAAAGCAUAAGCGAGCUUGACUGCGAGUCCUACAAGACGAGCAGGUGGGAAACCAGGCUUUAGUGAUCCGGUGGUUCCGCGUGGAAGGGCCAUCGCUCAACGGAUAAAAGGUACGCCGGGGAUAACAGGCUGAUCCUAGCCAAGAGUUCACAUCGACGCUAGGGUUUGGCACCUCGAUGUCGGCUCAUCACAUCCUGGAGCUGUAGCAGGUUCCAAGGGUUCGGCUGUUCGCCGAUUAAAGUGGUACGUGAGCUGGGUUUAGAACGUCGCGAGACAGUUCGGUCUCUAUCUAUGAUGGGCGCAGGAGAUUUGAGUGGGGCUGACCUUAGUACGAGAGGACCGGGUUGGACGGACCUCUAGUGUAUCGGUUAUCGCGCCAGCGGUAGCGCCGAGUAGCUACGUCCGGAAGGGAGAAACGCUGAAGGCAUCUAAGCGUGAAACCCUCCACAAGAUGAGAUCUCCCUGGAUCGCAAGAUCCCUGAAGGCUCCUGGAAGAUUACCAGGUGAUAGGUCGGGUGUGUAAGCGUAGUGAUACGUUGAGCUUACCGAUACUAAUCAGCCGUGAGGCUUGACCAU
rnacentral:rRNA from 1 species